UGGGGAAUCUUGCACAAUGGGCGAAAGCCUGAUGCAGCGACGCCGCGUGCGGGAUGAAGGCCUUCGGGUUGUAAACCGCUUUUGAUUGGGAGCAAGCCUUUUGGGUGAGUGUACCUUUCGAAUAAGCGCCGGCUAACUACGUGCCAGCAGCCGCGGUAAUACGUAGGGCGCAAGCGUUAUCCGGAAUUAUUGGGCGUAAAGAGCUUGUAGGCGGUUCGUCGCGUCUGGUGUGAAAGCCCAUCGCUUAACGGUGGGUUUGCGCCGGGUACGGGCGGGCUAGAGUGCAGUAGGGGAGACUGGAAUUCUCGGUGUAACGGUGGAAUGUGUAGAUAUCGGGAAGAACACCAAUGGCGAAGGCAGGUCUCUGGGCUGUUACUGACGCUGAGAAGCGAAAGCGUGGGGAGCGAACAGG
rnacentral:rRNA from 1 species